UAAUACGGGGGGAGCAAGCGUUGUUCGGAAUCACUGGGCGUAAAGGGAGUCUAGGCGGUUUGGUAAGUGGGAUGUGAAAUGCCCCGGCUCACCCGGGGACCUGCAUCCCAAACUGCUGAGCUUGAGUACAGGAGAGGGUGGGGGAAUUCCAGGUGUAGCGGUGAAAUGCGUAGAUAUCUGGAGGAACACCGGUGGCGAAGGCGCCCACCUGGCCUGCUACUGACGCUGAAGCUCGAAAGCUAGGGGAGCAAACGGGAUUAGAUACCCCGGUAGUCCUAGCCGUAAACGGUGAUCACUAGGUGUUGGGAGCAUCGACCCUUCCAGUGCCGCAGCUAACGCAUUAAGUGAUCCGCCUGGGGAGUACGGCCGCAAGGUUG
rnacentral:rRNA from 1 species